AUCCCCAUCCUUUUUAAAAAAAAAAAAAAAAAUGAGAACAUUAACAUUUUUUUCCAAAAAAACUCAAAGUAUUAAACCAGGAGAUAGAGCUAGCUGGCAUGUCUUUGUCAGAUGGAUGUGAAUUCUUCCCGCAAACAAUGCCUAUUUAUAGCUUGGAAUUGAAAAUGUCAGCCAUGAGAAGCCGUGGAACCAGAUUGUCAGCAGCAAUUAGGCAUUAAAAACCAAACCAACAGACAAUCUGAAGGAAAGCAGACAAUGACAAAAAGAAGGGACAGCACAUUACUGCCUGGGGCACUUGGAAAUCUGCACCCGGAGGCUCUAGCGAGACAGACCCACAAGGAACAGACUGAUUGAUUGCCUGGCAUCAGGGGAGAGCUGCUGAAUAUGGGUGCCCUUCAAAACACAAAUGAAGGAAGGUGGUGGGAAGUGAUGAGUCUAAGAAGAAUCAGAGGCUCAUGACUGGAUGGAGACCUGAGGAGUGUGCUACGGUACUUCUCUGUCAAGAAAUGAUUCGGUAACAAACUGUGAUGACCUGGCAGUUGUCAAUUCUGUCUUGUUUGGUUCAGCUCAGACUGAUGCUGGGCCUAAAUAAAGGCAACCGGAGUGAAAA